ensembl:lncRNA
AUGCUACUUGUUGAAGCCAUGAAUCUGUCAACAGAGGAAAAUAUGCUAUCAUCUUUAAAAAGAAUGGCAGCAUCACCCCAAAUCCAGUGUGCUUCCCACAUGGGUACUUUACAAACUACAGACAAGGUCCCGACAGCGUCACGAACACUUUCUACGGAAGCUUUUGAAGCUGUUGGCAGUCCGCCCAUGACGGAGCUGGCCAAAACACAAUUGGCAGUACAGAAACUUAUUGCUAGACCUCAGGUUACGGAUUCCACUCCAACCAACAUCAUCAUUCCAAAACGACCUGUGGUCACGCCGUCCAAUAUUGGUAUACUGCCAAAGCCAUCAUCAACUGCUGCGACUCAAACAAGCGUGCAGUCACAGAAAACCUUUCCCCGUCCUGUGAUAACAUUGGUAAAACCAAGUAAACAUGAUAACGAUAUGCCAAAUAAAAUAAUUGUUGUGCCAAGACCAGCACCACUGCCUCAUAAUAAUGCUACACUGUCCCCAACCCAGCUUCCUAAAUGUAUGCCAACAGUUGUUAUGCCACAGAAUAAUCUCUUAUUUCCAGCUUCUACAACUGCAAGCUUACCACUUAGAACACCUUCCGUUUCGUCUUUCCCUCAGAAAACAACAUAUGUUACCUCGCAGAAAUCCCUUCCAAUUGUCCCUUCACACUCAAUUGCCACCGCAACAAGCCGGAAGUCAGUGUGUCUACCACCAAGGAAAAUAACAAUUAUAAUUCCAAGACGGGUUUCAACUGUGGCAUCAGGGACACAAACCGUUGUCACAACAAAGGACGAGUCCACAAAACCAGCUGCUGCUCUUACAGUGUCAUCGUCCCAGUUGAUUUCUUCUUCACAAGAGAUGGCAGUUUCUGUGGAUAGUCUGACUGCUGAAGUGGCUACAAUAUCCUCUCAAGUGAGGGAUAAUAUAACUUCCAAUGUUGUAUCUCCCAAACAAACUGCCUCUGUUUCUGAAAUAACAAAUCUACCCCCAGAAACGUGUUCUAGUUUAAAAAGGUUGCACCCAACUUCCGCACCAACCUCUGUAUCUCCAGCAGAACAAAAACUCUCUGCAGUGGUCAGAUUAACCAGGCUGCCAAUUUCUGUAUCAACCAAAGAAUCAGUGUUGGUCUCAAGACUGCUUUCAAAUGGAUGUCCUGAAUGUCAGUCAAUUUUGAAAAAAGGUGCCACACAAGAUGGAUCAUCUGUGGUCCAACCAGCACAGUCAUUAGUGAGGCCAGCGGUAUCCACUAUCAUAUGUCCCAGUUUAAAAGAAACUUCUGUUUCUGUGUUUGGUACCUCUCAGAUGUCAGAAGAGAAAAAUACUGUUCAAGAGAUAUUAUCCUCUGAAACAUGCACAACUUUGGGAGAGUCCUUCAUCAGUGGGUAUGUGCAGCCAUCUACACCCAAGAUCUUAGACUCAGACUUUGUAUCCCAGACCAUCAGCAUGACCAAACUCUCAGCUGGUGAACCUGCUUCAAAUUUGGAGGAGGAAAUAUUCAGCAAUACAAUGCAAUAUUGUGCACUGUCGAACGACCAACCAACAGAAGAGAAAGGAUCAGUUGCCCCCAUACAGCUAACCCCCGCCCUGUCCACGGACACAUCUGACCUUCAUCUACAAAUGAGUAAAACCCAGUUCCUGGCCCAGCUAGCAGUGUCACCUGUAGCCCAAGCCCCACAACAGGUAAUGUAG